rnacentral:rRNA from 1 species
CCUACGGGCGGCUGCAGUGGGGAAUAUUGGACAAUGGGGGGAACCCUGAUCCAGCCAUGCCGCGUGUGUGAAGAAGGCCCUCGGGUUGUAAAGCACUUUCAGUGAGGAAGAACGCCUGGUGGUUAAUACCCAUCAGGAAAGACAUCACUCACAGAAGAAGCACCGGCUAACUCCGUGCCAGCAGCCGCGGUAAUACGGAGGGUGCGAGCGUUAAUCGGAAUUACUGGGCGUAAAGCGCGCGUAGGUGGCUUGAUAAGCCGGUUGUGAAAGCCCCGGGCUCAACCUGGGAACGGCAUCCGGAACUGGCAAGCUAGAGUGCAGGAGAGGAAGGUAGAAUUCCCGGUGUAGCGGUGAAAUGCGUAGAGAUCGGGAGGAAUACCAGUGGCGAAGGCGGCCUUCUGGACUGACACUGACACUGAGGUGCGAAAGCGUGGGUAGCAAACAGGAUUAGAUACCCCGGUAGUC